GGGUCAGUAGGUUGGUCGUGCCUCCGGUACGUACUGGUCUCACUGAUUCCUCCUUCCUGAAGAACCGUAAUGCCAUUAAUUUGGUGUUGCGGGGAAACAGGACUGUUACUUUGAAAAAAUUAGAGUGUUUAAAGCAAGCUAACGCUUGAAUACAUUGGCAUGGAAUAAUGAAAUAGGACGAUCGAUCCUAUUUUGUUGGUUUCUAGGAUUGACGUA
rnacentral:rRNA from 1 species